AGACCCGAAACCCGGUGAUCUAGCCAUGGGCAGGUUGAAGGUUGGGUAACACUAACUGGAGGACCGAACCGACUAAUGUUGAAAAAUUAGCGGAUGACCUGUGGCUGGGGGUGAAAGGCCAAUCAAACCGGGAGAUAGCUGGUUCUCCCCGAAAGCUAUUUAGGUAGCGCCUCGUGAAUUCAUCUCCGGGGGUAGAGCACUGUUUCGGCUAGGGGGCCAUCCCGGCUUACCAACCCGAUGCAAACUGCGAAUACCGGAGAAUGUUAUCACGGGAGACACACGGCGGGUGCUAACGUCCGUCGUGAAGAGGGAAACAACCCAGACCGCCAGCUAAGGUCCCAAAGUCAUGGUUAAGUGGGAAACGAUGUGGGAAGGCCCAGACAGCCAGGAUGUUGGCUUAGAAGCAGCCAUCAUUUAAAGAAAGCGUAAUAGCUCACUGGUCGAGUCGGCCUGCGCGGAAGAUGUAACGGGGCUAAACCAUGCACCGAAGCUGCGGCAGCGAACGUAUCACUUAAAGCGAUUCAGCGGGUUACGAUUGACGGAGCGAAGCGACGUCAAAGCGUAUACAAAGUCGAGUCGGUUUAAGGAUACGUUCGUUGGGUAGGGG
rnacentral:rRNA from 2 species